CCUACGGGAGGCAGCAGUGGGGAAUAUUGCACAAUGGAGGAAACUCUGAUGCAGCAACGCCGCGUGGAGGAUGACGCAUUUCGGUGUGUAAACUCCUUUUAUAUGGGAAGAUAAUGACGGUACCAUAUGAAUAAGCACCGGCUAACUCCGUGCCA
rnacentral:rRNA from 1 species